CAAAUACUCCCUCCGUCCGGAAAUACUUGUCAUCAAAAUGGAUAAAAGGAAAUGUAUCUAGACGUAUUUUAGUUUUAGAUACAUCUCUUUUUAUCCAUUUUGAUGAAAAGUAUUUUCGGACGGAGGGAGUAGAAA
rfam:Triticum aestivum genome assembly, contig: Triticum_aestivum_CS42_TGACv1_scaffold_184287_2DS